rnacentral:rRNA from 1 species
GUUGUAGUCUGGAGAAGUGCUUUCCGCGCUGGACCGUGUAUAAGUCUCUUGGAACAGAGCGUCAUAGAGGGUGAGAAUCCCGUCUUUGACACGGACUACCAGUGCUUUGUGAUGCGCUCUCAAAGAGUCGAGUUGUUUGGGAAUGCAGCUCAAAAUGGGUGGUGAAUUCCAUCUAAAGCUAAAUAUUGGCGAGAGACCGAUAGCGAACAAGUACCGUGAGGGAAAGAUGAAAAGCACUUUGGAAAGAGAGUUAAACAGUACGUGAAAUUGCUGAAAGGGAAACGCUUGAAGUCAGUCGCGUCUUCCGGAACUCAGCCUUCCUUUUGGUUGGUGCACUUUCCGGUUGACGGGCCAGCAUCAAUUUCGACCGUCGGAAAAGGGCUGGGGAAAUGUGGCACCUUUCGGGGUGUGUUAUAGUCCUCAGUCGCAUACGUCGGUCGGGAUUGAGGAUCGCAGCGCGCCGCAAGGCAGGGGGUUAGCCCACUUUCGCGCUUAGGAUGCUGGCAUAAUGGCUUUAAACGACCCGUCUUGAAACACGGACCAAGGAGUCUAACAAACCUGCGAGUGUUUGGGUGGAAAACCCGAGCGCGUAAUGAAAGUGAAAGUUGAGACCUCUGUCGUGGAGGGCAUCGACGCCCGGACCUGACGUUCUCUGACGGAUCCGCGGUAGAGCAUGUUUGUUGGGACCCGAAAGAUGGUGAACUAUGCCUGAAUAGGGUGAAGCCAGAGGAAACUCUGGUG